CGACCCCAGCUCAGGCGAGCACACCCCCUAAGUUUAAGCAUAUAAUUAAGUGGAGGAAAAGAAACUUACAAGGAUUCCCCUAGUAACGGCGAGCGAACCGGGAAUAGCCCAGCAUGAAAAUCGGGUGGCAGCGUCGCCUGAAUUGUAGUUUGUAGAAGCGUCCUUAGUGGCGAACCGGGCCUAAGUCCUCUGGAAGGGGGCGCCUGAGAGGGUGACAGCCCCGUCGGGCCGGGACCCUGCCGCACCACGAGGCGUUGUUGGCAAGUUGGGUUGUUUGGGAAUGCAGGCCUAAUCGGGUGGUAAAUUCCAUCCAAGGCUAAAUACGGGCGAGAGACCGAUCGCGAACAAGUACCGCGAGGGAAAUAUGAAAAGGAUUUUGAAAAGAGAGUUAAAGAGUGCUUGAAAUUGCUAGGAGGGAAGCGGAUGGAGGCCGACGAUGCGUCUCGGUUGGAUGCGGAACGACUCAAGCUGGUCCGUCGCUCGACUCGAGGUGCGAACCAGCACAGGCCGUUGCAUCGGCACAAGCGUGGGUGGAGUACUGCCUGUUGGUUUUCCAUUGUGGCGGUCGAGGAAUGAAGCAUGCGCCCUUGGGGUGGGCCGCUGUGCACCUACACGCUUGUGGUGUUGGUUGGUGGGCUUUCCAUUUGAUCCGUCUUGAAACAUGGACCAAGGAGUCUAACAUGUGUGCGAGUCGGUGGGUUUGUAAACCUGCGAGGUGUAAGGAAGAUAACGGGCGAGAACCCCUCUCCAUGGGGUGCGUUUCUGACCGACCUUAAGCUUGUGUGAAGGGUUCGAGUGUGAGCACACCUGUUGGGACCCGAAAGAUGGUGAACUA
rnacentral:ncRNA from 1 species